ACAUGCAAGUCGAGGGGCAGCAUGAUUUGUAGCAAUACAGAUUGAUGGCGACCGGCGCACGGGUGAGUAACGCGUAUGCAACUUACCUAUCAGAGGGGGAUAGCCCGGCGAAAGUCGGAUUAAUACCCCAUAAAACAGGGGUCCCGCAUGGGAAUAUUUGUUAAAGAUUCAUCGCUGAUAGAUAGGCAUGCGUUCCAUUAGGCAGUUGGCGGGGUAACGGCCCACCAAACCGACGAUGGAUAGGGGUUCUGAGAGGAAGGUCCCCCACAUUGGUACUGAGACACGGACCAAACUCCUACGGGAGGCAGCAGUGAGGAAUAUUGGUCAAUGGCCGAGAGGCUGAACCAGCCAAGUCGCGUGAAGGAAGAAGGAUCUAUGGUUUGUAAACUUCUUUUAUAGGGGAAUAAAGUGGAGGACGUGUCCUUUUUUGUAUGUACCCUAUGAAUAAGCAUCGGCUAACUCCGUGCCAGCAGCCGCGGUAAUACGGAGGAUGCGAGCGUUAUCCGGAUUUAUUGGGUUUAAAGGGUGCGUAGGUGGUGAUUUAAGUCAGCGGUGAAAGUUUGUGGCUCAACCAUAAAAUUGCCGUUGAAACUGGGUUACUUGAGUGUGUUUGAGGUAGGCGGAA
rnacentral:rRNA from 1 species